rnacentral:rRNA from 1 species
AGUGAACGCUGGCGGUAGGCCUAACGCAUGCAAGUCGAACGGCAGCACAGGAGAGCUUGCUCUCUGGGUGGCGAGUGGCGGACGGGUGAGGAAUACAUCGGAAUCUACUUUUUCGUGGGGAUAACGUAGGGAAACUUACGCUAAUACCGCAUACGACCUACGGGUGAAAGCAGGGGACCUUCGGGCCUUGCGCGAUUGAAUGAGCCGAUGUCGGAUUAGCUAGUUGGCGGGGUAAAGGCCCACCAAGGCGACGAUCCGUAGCUGGUCUGAGAGGAUGAUCAGCCACACUGGAACGGAGACACGGUCCAGACUCCUACGGGAGGCAGCAGUGGGGAAUAUUGGACGAUGGGCGCAAGCCUGAUCCAGCCAUACCGCGUGGGUGAAGAAGGCCUUCGGGUUGUAAAGCCCUUUUGUUGGGAAAGAAAUCCAGCUGGCUAAUACCCGGUUGGGAUGACGGUACCCAAAGAAUAAGCACCGGCUAACUUCGUGCCAGCCGCCGCCGUAA